rnacentral:rRNA from 1 species
UACGUAGGGAGCAAGCGUUAUCCGGAUUUAUUGGGUGUAAAGGGUGCGUAGACGGGAAUUUAAGUUGGUUGUGAAAUCCCUCGGCUCAACUGAGGAACUGCAACCAAAACUGGAUUUCUUGAGUGCUGGAGAGGAAAGCGGAAUUCCUAGUGUAGCGGUGAAAUGCGUAGAUAUUAGGAGGAACACCAGUGGCGAAGGCGGCUUUCUGGACAGUAACUGACGUUGAGGCACGAAAGUGUGGGGAGCAAAC